AUUGAACGCUGGCGGCAUGCUUUACACAUGCAAGUCGAACGGCAGCGCGGGCUUCGGCCUGGCGGCGAGUGGCGAACGGGUGAGUAAUGCAUCGGAACGUGCCCAGUAGUGGGGGAUAGCCCGGCGAAAGACGGAUUAAUACCGCAUACGACCUGCGGGUGAAAGCGGGGGACCGAAAGGCCUCGCGCUAUUGGAGCGGCCGAUGUCGGAUUAGCUAGUUGGUGGGGUAAAGGCUUACCAAGUCGACGAUCCGUAGCUGGUCUGAGAGGACGACCGGCCACACUGGGACUUGGACACGGCCCAUGCUCCUACGGGAGGCAGCAGUGGGGAAUUUUGGACAAUGGUGGCAACCCUGAUCCAGCCAUGCCGCGUGCGGGAAGAAGGCCUUCGGGUUGUAAACCGCUUUUGUUCGGGAAGAAAUCCUCUGGGCUAAUACCCCGGGGGGAUGACGGUACCGGAAGAAUAAGCACCGGCUAACUACGUG
rnacentral:rRNA from 1 species